rnacentral:rRNA from 1 species
UACGUAGGGUGCGAGCGUUAAUCGGAAUUACUGGGCGUAAAGCGUGCGCAGGCGGUUUUGUAAGCCAGAUGUGAAAUCCCCGGGCUUAACCUGGGAAUGGCAUUUGGGACUGCAAGGCCGGAGUGCGGCAGAGGAGACGUGGAAUUCCUGGUGUAGCAGUGAAAUGCGUAGAUAUCAGGAGGAAUACCGAUGGCGAAGGCAG